rnacentral:rRNA from 1 species
UACGGAGGGUGCAAGCGUUAUCCGGAUUCACUGGGUUUAAAGGGUGCGUAGGUGGGCAGGUAAGUCAGUGGUGAAAUCUUCGGGCUUAACCCGGAAACUGCCGUUGAUACUAUCUGUCUUGAAUGUAGUGGAGGUGAGCGGAAUAUGUCAUGUAGCGGUGAAAUGCUUAGAUAUGACAUAGAACAUCGAUUGCGAAGGCAGCUCGCUACACUAUGAUUGACACUGAGGCACGAAAGCGUGGGGAGCAAACAGG